GUCGAACGAUGAACCCGAAGCUUGCUUUGGGGGAUUAGUGGCGAACGGGUGAGUAACACGUGAGCAACCAGCCCCUCACUCUGGGAUAAGCGCUGGAAACGGCGUCUAAUACUGGAUACGAGACGCGACCGCAUGGUCAGUGUCUGGAAAGAUUUUUUGGUGGGGGAUGGGCUCGCGGCCUAUCAGCUUGUUGGUGAGGUAAUGGCUCACCAAGGCGUCGACGGGUAGCCGGCCUGAGAGGGUGACCGGCCACACUGGGACUGAGACACGGCCCAGACUCCUACGGGAGGCAGCAGUGGGGAAUAUUGCACAAUGGGCGGAAGCCUGAUGCAGCAACGCCGCGUGAGGGAUGACGGCCUUCGGGUUGUAAACCUCUUUUAGCAGGGAAGAAGCGAAAGUGACGGUACCUGCAGAAAAAGCACCGGCUAACUACGUGCCAGCAGCCGCGGUAAUACGUAGGGUGCAAGCGUUAUCCGGAAUUAUUGGGCGUAAAGAGCUCGUAGGCGGUUUGUCGCGUCUGCUGUGAAAUCCCGAGGCUCAACCUCGGGCCUGCAGUGGGUACGGGCAGACUAGAGUGCGGUAGGGGAGAUUGGAAUUCCUGGUGUAGCGGUGGAAUGCGCAGAUAUCAGGAGGAACACCGAUGGCGAAGGCAGAUCUCUGGGCCGUAACUGACGCUGAGGAGCGAAAGGGUGGGGAGCAAACAGGCUUAGAUACCCUGGUAGUCCACCCCGUAAACGUUGGGAACUAGUUGUGGGGUCCUUUCCACGGAUUCCGUGACGCAGCUAACGCAUUAAGUUCCCCGCCUGGGGAGUACGGCCGCAAGGCUAAAACUCAAAGGAAUUGACGGGGACCCGCACAAGCGGCGGAGCAUGCGGAUUAAUUCGGUGCAACGCGAAGAACCUUACCAAGGCUUGACAUACACGAGAACGGGCCAGAAAUGGUCAACUCUUUGGACACUCGUGAACAGGUGGUGCAUGGUUGUCGUCAGCUCGUGUCGUGAGAUGUUGGGUUAAGUCCCGCAACGAGCGCAACCCUCGUUCUAUGUUGCCAGCACGUAAUGGUGGGAACUCAUGGGAUACUGCCGGGGUCAACUCGGAGGAAGGUGGGGAUGACGUCAAAUCAUCAUGCCCCUUAUGUCUUGGGCUUCACGCAUGCUACAAUGGCCGGUACAAAGGGCUGCAAUACCGUGAGGUGGAGCGAAUCCCAAAAAGCCGGUCCCAGUUCGGAUUGAGGUCUGCAACUCGACCUCAUGAAGUCGGAGUCGCUAGUAAUCGCAGAUCAGCAACGCUGCGGUGAAUACGUUCCCGGGUCUUGUACACACCGA
rnacentral:rRNA from 1 species